UACGUAGGGGGCAAGCGUUGUCCGGAAUCAUUGGGCGUAAAGAGCUUGUAGGCAGUUUGUCGCGUCUGCUGUGAAAAUCCGGGGCUCAACCCCGGACUUGCAGUGGGUACGGGCAGACUAGAGUGUGGUAGGGGGAGACUGGAAUUCCUGGUGUAGCGGUGAAAUGCGCAGAUAUCAGGAGGAACACCGAUGGCGAAGGCAGGUCUCUGGGCCACUACUGACGCUGAGAAGCGAAAAGCAUGGGGGAGCGAACAGG
rnacentral:rRNA from 1 species